rnacentral:rRNA from 1 species
CUUGGUCAUUUAGAGGAAGUAAAAGUCGUAACAAGGUUUCCGUAGGUGAACCUGCGGAAGGAUCAUUAAAGAAUUGCCCCAUUUUUUGAAAUGGGUUCUAUUCCCAAACCGUGUAUACAUACCUUUGUUGCUUUGGCAAGCCGUCCUUCGGGCGCAGCUUCGGCUGAGAGCGCUUGCCAGAGGACCCCAACUCUUUUGUUUAGUGAUGUCUGAGUACUAUAUAAUAGUUAAAACUUUCAACAACGGAUCUCUUGGUUCUGGCAUCGAUGAAGAACGCAGCGAAAUGCGAUAAGUAAUGUGAAUUGCAGAAUUCAGUGAAUCAUCGAAUCUUUGAACGCACAUUGCACCCUCUGGUAUUCCGGGGGGUAUGCCUGUUCGAGCGUCAUUGCAACCCUCAAGCAUUGCUUGGUAUUGGAUGCCACUGCUGUGGUGCAUCUCAAAAGUAUUGGCGGUGGCAUUCAGCUUCUAGCGUAGUAAAUCUUCUCGCCUUGGAGUUUGAGUGUCUAACUGCCAGAACCCCUAAAUUUAUCAAAGGUUGACCUCGGAUCAGGUAGGGAUACCCGCUGAACUUAAGCAUAUCAAUAAGCGGAGGA